rnacentral:rRNA from 1 species
UACGAGGGGGGCAAGCGUUGUUCGGAAUUAUUGGGCGUAAAGGGCGCGUAGGCGGUGCGGUAAGUCACCUGUGAAACCUCUAGGCUCAACCUAGAGCCUGCAGGCGAAACUGCCGUGCUUGAGGGUGGGAGAGGUGCGUGGAAUUCCCGGUGUAGCUGUGAAAUGCGUAGAUAUCUGGAGGAACACCGGUGGCGAAGGCGGCAUCCUGGACCAAUUCUGACGCUGAGGAGCGAAAGCCAGGGGAGCAAACGGG